rnacentral:rRNA from 1 species
UACAGAGGUCUCAAGCGUUGUUCGGAUUCAUUGGGCGUAAAGGGCGCGUAGGCGGCGUGGUAAGUCAGUUGUGAAAUCUCCGAGCUUAACUCGGAACGGCCAACUGAUACUGCUGUGCUAGAGUGCAGAAGGGGCAAUCAGAAUUCCUGGUGUAGCGGUGAAAUGCGCAGAUAUCAGGAGGAACACCGAUGGCGAAGGCAGGUCUCUGGGCAUUAACUGACGCUGAGGAGCGAAAGCAUGGGGAGCGAACAGG